GACGAACGCUGGCGGCGUGCUUAACACAUGCAAGUCGAACGAUGACGCCCGAGCUUGCUCGGUCUGAUUAGUGGCGAACGGGUGAGUAACACGUGAGCAACCUGCCCUUCACUCUUGGAUAACCUCGGGAAAUCGGGGCUAAUACCGGAUAUGAGCUCCUGUCGCAUGGCGGGUGUUGGAAAGUUUUUCGGUGAAGGAUGGGCUCGCGGCCUAUCAGUUUGUUGGUGGGGUAGUGGCUCACCAAGGCGAUGACGGGUAGCCGGCCUGAGAGGGCGACCGGCCACACUGGGACUGAGACACGGCCCAGACUCCUACGGGAGGCAGCAGUGGGGAAUAUUGCACAAUGGGCGAAAGCCUGAUGCAGCGACGCCGCGUGAGGGAUGACGGCCUUCGGGUUGUAAACCUCUUUCAGCAGGGAAGAAGCGAAAGUGACGGUACCUGCAGAAGAAGCGCCGGCUAACUACGUG
rnacentral:rRNA from 1 species